CCCAUAUGGUUAAGUUUAUCAUUUUCAAAAAAUUUAAACACAUUCACAAAUUAACCACAAUGCAGUCACUCAUGUACAAUCAUGUCAUCUAAGGAUAGAAAGCAAGAAGAAUCACAUAGAAUUAAUCUGGAAAACAUCUUAGCUCUCAAAUUCGCUGUCUUCUGUAGUUCAUGAUAACGGCACCCCUCCCAUACUCUAUGCAUGCAUUUACGGUUUGAAUUUUUUACAUUUGGGUAUUGUGUUUUUAGUAAAUUUUAUUUCAAAUUAAGAAAAUAGAUGGUUAAACAAAAUUCCUUAUUCGAUACUGAUUGGCAUCACAUCACACACGAAUUGCACUAUAAGAGAAUGGAAUGACUUAGGUGGCUCACUCAUUAUCGAAUUAAAUUCAUUGAAUCCUGCAUUUACAUCAGAGAUUAAAUUGAUAACGGAAGUGUACAUUCAGAGACUACUAUGUCUUUAAUACUAAGUUAGUAAAGAAGUUAAAGACUAAAGUGACCAUUUACUCUAAAAUCUUGAAAAGCGAAAACUAGAUUGAACAACACUUGUGAUUGGUGAUAUGCAUACAUGCGAACAUACGUCAAAAUUUAAUUUUGGAGCAAUUCUUGACUCUAUACGAUGAAUGACGUCAACAACCAUUGACCCAUUACCAAAACUUCUAAAGAAAAUUAAAAAAAAUUACGUCUCCCAUUUUAUUUUAUUUUUACAAAAACAAAACAAUAUUCAUUCAUUCAAAUCGAUAGAGUCAUUCAACAUCGAUAAAAAUGAAAAAAAAUGAAGCUACGAACAAACUCAAACAUCCAACUUAAUAGCAUAUAAAGACAUAAUGCCUACAACUUAAUAGCAUCCGCAUAUGCAACGUUGAUGCCCAAAUCUUUGAUUGAAUAAUCGAUCUUUCAAUAUAAAAUAAAUGAACACCGCAACAAGACGGGAAAUCAAACAACGUCGCACAAGUAGAAGAACAACAUACCACCACACUCAUAUGACGAAAUCACAAAGAAAAAAUCUAGAUCUAUGUGAAUAUCACUUAUUUACAUUGAAAUAGAGAGAAAAGGAUGAAGAAGAGGCGAUUUCAGGUCAAAAGGUACAAUAGGCAUAUGACCUUUAACAAUGAUAUUUGCACAAUCAUUUUGACACAGUUUUCAAUCUUAUAUUCACAUUGUAUUCUUAUUCUCUCUCAUCCUCUCUCCCUCUCUCUCUCUCUAUAUAUAUAGAGGAAUGCUAGAACACACCCACUCAAUUUUGUGAAGGUGUGUUUUAGCAUGAUGCACCUUUAUGAAAUGGAAAAAAAAAACCACUUUUCCUUUUUAAAAGCUGUUUUAAGUAGGGCCAGUUUUGUAAUUUGAUAUUAAUUUAUUUAUUUUUUUAAAUCAAAAUUGUCCAGAUGUUUUCCUCUUCCACACGCCUGUGUUCUCACGGAAAUGCAUAUCCAGC
rnacentral:lncRNA from 1 species